CAGCAGCCACGGGAAUACAGAGGGUGCGAGCGUUAAUCGGAUUUACUGGGCGUAAAGCGUGCGUAGGCGGCUUCUUAAGUCGGAUGUGAAAUCCCUGAGCUUAACUUAGGAAUUGCAUUCGAUACUGGGAAGCUAGAGUAUGGGAGAGGAUGGUAGAAUUCCAGGCGUAGCGGUGAAAUGCGUAGAGAUCUGGAGGAAUACCGAUGGCGAAGGCAGCCAUCUGGCCUAAUACUGACGCUGAGGUACGAAAGCAUGGGGAGCAAACAGGAUUAGAGACCCCAGUAGUCCCUGUCUCUUAUAC
rnacentral:rRNA from 1 species